rnacentral:lncRNA from 1 species
AUGGUCUCCUCGUUUAGUGUUGUGGAAUUUUUGGACGAAGUCGAUACGGAUGGCUGUAAGAAGAUGGAUAUAAUUCCAGUAGAAUGGUUUAAGGGCACAGACAGAAAGUUAUGCUGGUGGCCACCAGGCUCACUGGCCAACAUAACCAAGGUGGUGAAAGAGCACACAUCACCAGCCAGCAACUGGAUAGUGUGCAAUGUGCGUGAAAUGGGAAAUGCAGCCACUUAUUCCAAAGCCAGGGCUAAACUCCACCAAGCUGAAUAUUCAUCAGACUUGACAGAUACAGAAAAUAUCUCAAGAAAAAUAAGGCCAAGUGCAAAACUUCUCCAGAGUCAACUGAGCACUCAGUUGGAAUCAAGUGAGCAUUCAGACUCUUCAGAGGAGCUUCCACCCACUCCACCAAACCAACUCCUUUGGCCAGCAAAGAAAGUGAGCAACUACUUUCAGAACCCCACUGACCAACAUGUUGCCAGCUAUACUCCCCUACGUAACACCAGUCAUGCUGCCCAACAAGGUGCCAGCACCACAAACCGAGGCAUUACCAGCCCCAUAGCCACAGUUACCAGCCCUAGAGACCAAGGAGUUACCACCCCAACAGCCACAGUUACCAGCCCCACAGCCCGAGGAGUUAGCAGCUCCACAGCCCGUAGAGCUACCAGCCCCACAGCCACAGUUACCAGCCCCAGAGACCAAGGAGUUACCAGCGCAACACCCCGAGGAGUUAGCAGCUCCAUAGCCCGUAGAGCUACCAGCCCCACAGCCACAGUUACCAGCCCCAGAGACCAAGGAGUUACCAGCGCAACACCCCGAGGAGUUAGCAGCUCCAUAGCCCGUAGAGCUACCAGCCCCACAGCCACAAUUACCAGCCCUACUUGUGAAGCCAUGUUCACUAAGCUUUUGACAAUCUUAGAAGAAGUGAAGGAGACACAACGUGUUCAUGGUAAGAUGUUGAAUGCCCUGCUGAAAAAGCAAGACGGAUCAGUGGUAGAGGUUCCUGAAGGAGUGGCUUUACCUCUGAAAACCCAGUCUGACCUUGAGGCUCUUGAUCAGAAGUUGGGGGAUCGUAGUGUCAUGUCUGCUGUUGUUACCAUGGUGGCAGAUGUAGGUGGCACAAGUGUAGAUGAUACAACAAGAAGAAUGAUGAAAUACAUCUUAUCAAAUGAGCUGGCAUUGGAGUACAAUUUCUUUGGUCGUCAUGGGAAAAAAAAGUUUAAAGAUUUGCGUCUUUUCAACAUUGUGUAUGGUAAGUAUGACUUAAGUUGUUAAUACUGUGAUCUUAAAU